AGAAUUUGAUCUUGGUCAGGAUGAACGCUAGCUACAGGCUUAACACAUGCAAGUCGAGGGGCAGCAUUGGAGUAGCAAUACUCAGAUGGCGACCGGCGCACGGGUGAGUAACACGUAUCCAACCUGCCGCUUACUCGGGGAUAGCCUUUCGAAAGAAAGAUUAAUACCCGAUGGUAUAAAGAGUUCGCAUGUUCUCUUUAUUAAAGAAUUUCGGUAAGCGAUGGGGAUGCGUUCCAUUAGAUAGUUGGCGGGGUAACGGCCCACCAAGUCUACGAUGGAUAGGGGUUCUGAGAGGAAGGUCCCCCCACAUUGGAACUGAGACACGGUCCAAACUCCUACGGGAGGCAGCAGUGAGGAAUAUUGGUCAAUGGACGAGAGUCUGAACCAGCCAAGUAGCGUGAAGGAUGACUGCCCUAUGGGUUGUAAACUUCUUUUAUAAGGGAAUAAAGUGAGGGACGUGUCCCUUUUUGUAUGUACCUUAUGAAUAAGGAUCGGCUAACUCCGUGCCAGCAGCAGC
rnacentral:rRNA from 1 species